rnacentral:lncRNA from 1 species
UUCUUACUCAAUUUGAUGCCUGAAAGGCUAAACUGUUGACAGCGCCAACUAGCGGUUCCCGAGUUCCCUGAAAUUUUUUUCGAGAAUUAAAACAUGCUAUAAGUACCUAAAAAUGUCCCAAAAAAAAUUCUAAAUCAGUCUCAGGGCCCAUUGUGGCCAAUUUUGAGAUUCUGGCACGGCGGCUCCGCCGUGCUCCGGCGACGGCGCUGCGGCUCGCGAUAAUGGUUCACCUUGGGUCGACUGUUUUUGGCUAUUUUCGGCCAGAUUCAGCUGAUUUUGCAUCAAUCCCUACAAAAAAACAUGUUAAGGGGCCUUAGUUGGCCGAAAAAUAUAAAAAAU